rnacentral:rRNA from 1 species
UUGAUCCUGGCUCAGAAUGAACGCUGGCGGCGUGCUUAACACAUGCAAGUCGAACGAGAAAUCUUUAGCUCGCUAGAGAAAGUAAAGUGGCGCACGGGUGAGUAACGCGUGGGUAAUCUGCCUCCGAAUCGGGGAUAACAUUGCGAAAGCGAUGCUAAUACCGGAUAAAAUCUGGUUGGCUUCGGUGAACCGGAUCAAAGGUGGUCUCUUUAUAAAAGCUACCGUUUGGAGAUGAGCUCGCGUACCAUUAGCUAGUUGGUGAGGUAAAGGCUCACCAAGGCGACGAUGGUUAGCUGGUCUGAGAGGAUGAUCAGCCACACCGGAACUGGAACACGGUCCGGACUCCUACGGGAGGCAGCAGUGAGGAAUUUUGCGCAAUGGGGGAAACCCUGACGCAGCAACGCCGCGUGAGUGAUGAAGGCUUUCGGGUCGUAAAGCUCUGUCAGGUGGGAAGAACCCACCAAGUGUUAAGACCACUUGGUGCUGACGGUACCACCGAAGGAAGCACCGGCUAACUCCGUGCCAGCAGCCGCGGUAAUACGGGGGGUGCGAGCGUUAUUCGGAAUCAUUGGGCGUAAAGGGCGCGCAGGCGGUUUUGUAAGUCAGAUGUGAAAUCCCGGGGCUUAACCCCGGAAGCGCAUAUGAAACUAUGAGACUUGAGUAUGGGAGAGGGAAGCGGAAUUCCUGGUGUAGCGGUGAAAUGCGUAGAUAUCAGGAGGAACACCGGUGGCGAAGGCGGCUUCCUGGACCAAUACUGACGCUGAGGCGCGAAGGCGUGGGGAGCGAACAGGAUUAGAUACCCUGGUAGUCCACGCAGUAAACGUUGAUCACUAGGUGUAGCGGGUAUUGACCCCUGCUGUGCCGGAGUUACGCAUUACGUGAUCCGNCUGGGGAGUACGAUCGCAAGAUUAAAACUCAAAGGAAUUGACGGGGGCCCGNACAAGCGGUGGAGCCUGUGGUCUAAUUCGGAGCAACGCGAAGAACCUUACCUGGA